rnacentral:rRNA from 1 species
GACGUAGGGGGCAAGCGUUGUCCGGAAUUACUGGGCGUAAAGAGCUCGUAGGUGGGACUAUAAGUCGAUGAGUAAAUAUCUCGGCUCAACUGAGAUGCCAUUGUCGAUACUGUAGUUCUUGAGGACAGGAGAGGAAAGUGGAAUUCCCGGUGUAGCGGUGAAAUGCGUAGAGAUCGGGAGGAACACCAGUGGCGAAGGCGGCUUUCUGGCCUGAUUCUGACACUGAGGAGCGAAAGCCAGGGGAGCGAACGGG